rnacentral:rRNA from 1 species
CAGGGAAUCUUGCGCAAUGGGCGAAAGCCUGACGCAGCGACACCGCGUGGAGGAAGAAGGCCUUAGGGCUGUAAACUCCUUUUCUUGGGGAAGAGAACGGACGGUACCCAAGGAAUAAGGAUCGGCUAACUACGUGCCAGCAGCCGCGGUAAUACGUAGGAUCCGAGCGUUGUCCGGAUUUACUGGGCGUAAAGGGUGCGUAGGCGGCUUGUUAAGUCUCAUGUGAAAUCUCCCGGCUUAACUGGGAGGGGUCAUGGGAUACUGGCAGGCUUGAGGUCAGUAGAGGAGAGCGGAAUUCCUGGAGUAGCGGUGAUAUGCGUAGAUACCAGGAGGAACACCAGAGGCGAAGGCGGCUCUCUGGGCUGAUUCUGACGCUGAUGCACGAAAGCGUGGGGAGCAAACCGGAUUAGAUACCCCCGUAGUCC